rnacentral:misc_RNA from 1 species
GAUGAAGAACGUAGCGAAAUGCGAUAAGUAAUGUGAAUUGCAGAAUUCAGUGAAUCAUCGAAUCUUUGAACGCACAUUGCGCCCCCUGGUAUUCCGGGGGGCAUACCUGUUCGAGCGUCAUUACAACCCUCAAGCUCUGCUUGGUAUUGGGCCCCGCCAGUUCUGGCGGGCCCUAAAGUCAGUGGCGGUGCCUUCCGGCUCCGAGCGUAGUAAUUCUUCUCGCUCUGGAGACCCGGUUGUGUGCUUGCCAACAACCCCCAAUUUUUUAAGGUUGACCUCGGAUCAGGUAGGGAUACCCGCUGAACUUAAGCAUAUCAAUAAGCGGAGGA